GACGUAGGGCGCUAGCGUUGUCCGGAUUUAUUGGGCGUAAAGAGCUCGUAGGCGGCUUGUUGCGUCGACUGUGAAAACCCGCGGCUUAACUGCGGGCUUGCAGUUGAUACGGGCAGGCUAGAGUUCGGUAGGGGAGACUGGAAUUCCUGGUGUAGCGGUGAAAUGCGCAGAUAUCAGGAGGAACACCGAUGGCGAAGGCAGGUCUCUGGGCUGACACUGACGCUCAUGCACGAAAGCGUGGGGAGCAAACAGG
rnacentral:rRNA from 1 species